rnacentral:rRNA from 1 species
GAAUCUUGCGCAAUGGGCGAAAGCCUGACGCAGCGACGCCGCGUGGAGGACGAAGGUCUUCGGAUUGUAAACUCCUGUCGAGAGGGACGAAUGCCGUGAGGGUGAACAAUCCUCACGGUUGACGGUACCUCCCGAGGAAGCCCCGGCUAACUCCGUGCCAGCAGCCGCGGUAAUACGGAGGGGGCCAGCGUUGUUCGGAAUCAUUGGGCGUAAAGGGCGCGUAGGCGGCCGACCAAGUCGGAGGUGAAAUCCCUCGGCUCAACUGAGGAACUGCCUCCGAUACUGUUCGGCUUGAGUCCCGGAGAGGGUAGUGGAAUUCCGAGUGUAGCGGUGAAGUGCGUAGAGACUCGGAAGAACACCAGUGGCGAAGGCGGCUACCUGGACGGGUACUGACGCUGAAGCGCGAAAGCUAGGGGAGCAAACAGG